GCCGAGGUGGUGGAAUUGGUAGACACGCUGUCUUGAGGGGGCAGUGGGAGAAAUCCCGUGGGGGUUCGAGUCCCCCCCUCGGCACCA
rnacentral:tRNA from 1 species